rnacentral:tRNA from 1 species
UGGAGCAGUCUGGUAGCUCGUCGGGCUCAUAACCCGAAGGUCGUAGGUUCAAAUCCUGCUCCCGCAA